CUGAGUGAGGGAGCAAUCCCGACCUCCAACCCUUUGUGAACGCAUCAUGUUGCUUCGGGGGCGGCCCUGCCGUUCGCGGCAUUCCCCCCGGAGGUAAUCAAAACACUGCAUUCUUACGUCGGAGUAAAAAGUUAAUUUAAUA
rnacentral:misc_RNA from 1 species